UGGCUGUGAGGAAAACCAAUUGUUAACUGAAUUUCAGUGAUUCUGUAAUACGCUAUUCUGAGCCAACA